CCUACGGGUGGCUGCAGUGGGGAAUAUUGGACAAUGGGGGCAACCCUGAUCCAGCCAUGCCGCGUGUGUGAAGAAGGCCCUCGGGUUGUAAAGCACUUUCAGUGAGGAAGAACGCCUGGUGGUUAAUACCCAUCAGGAAAGACAUCACUCACAGAAGAAGCACCGGCUAACUCCGUGCCAGCAGCCGCGGUAAUACGGAGGGUGCGAGCGUUAAUCGGAAUUACUGGGCGUAAAGCGCGCGUAGGUGGCUUGAUAAGCCGGUUGUGAAAGCCCCGGGCUCAACCUGGGAACGGCAUCCGGAACUGUCAAGCUAGAGUGCAGGAGAGGAAGGUAGAAUUCCCGGUGUAGCGGUGAAAUGCGUAGAGAUCGGGAGGAAUACCAGUGGCGAAGGAGGCCUUCUGGACUGACACUGACACUGAGGUGCGAAAGCGUGGGUAGCAAACAGGAUUAGAUACCCCUGUAGUC
rnacentral:rRNA from 1 species